UACGUAGGGGGCAAGCGUUGUCCGGAUUUAUUGGGCGUAAAGAGCGUGUAGGCGGCCAGGUAGGUCCGUUGUGAAAACUGGAGGCUUAACCUCCAGCUGUCGAUGGAAACCAUCUGGCUAGAGUCCGGAAGAGGAGAGUGGAAUUCCUGGUGUAGCGGUGAAAUGCGCAGAUAUCAGGAAGAACACCCGUGGCGAAGGCGGCUAUCUGGACGGUUUCUGACGCUAAGACGCGAAAGCGUGGGGAGCAAACAGG
rnacentral:rRNA from 1 species